UUCUACUUCAAGGGUUGAACCCUUAGUUUUCUCCGCCGUCGUGAUGUAGUCUCCAACUCUAGGUUUCUAUUCGUCUUCUUCCUCCCCUGAAUUUUACCAGUUUCACAUUCUUCUUAAAGUCCUCCUUGAUUCCAUCAUUCACAAUCUACAUUUAUUGUAUGCUUCGCUCUUGCAAAGCGGUGGAAACCUCAGUAUAUAAAGUCUGGAAGAUGUUCUUCCACGAUUGAGAUGAGGUUGCUUCGUUUCUGGAGGGCGGCGAGCUUAAGGGCGUCUACAUACUCCACCUCGGCGUUAAGAUUCCAAUCAAUUGUAUGGUGCAUCAUGAGGAUCUGAUAAGUUUAAACAUUCUAUGUCAAUCAAAUCAGCCAGAGAAUUGUUCUUCUUCGACUCGAACUGAAGUAAUGCAGGUUGCUCUUGGUCGUUCUGCUUCUGAUUGCAACAUGUCGUGUCAUCUUUGAAGUCUCCAAGUUUGUCUGUGUCAUGGUGGAGCUUGACUUCUUAUUACGGAUAUGCCAAACGGAAAGGUGAAAAAGUAUCAUCUCUCUCCUGAAACUCCAUUGGCUUACACAGUGAAAGACUUACACUGUAUAUAUAUCUCUCUUGGCUUUCCCGUUCCUUUUUUAACUGUUUCAAAAUUAUUCUUUGGCUAUCAUUGCAGCUUAUUUAAAGCUUAUGGCUUUUUUUUUUGAUCAACUAGCUUAUGGCUUAUUUAAAGCUUAUGCAGGAUUAGAAUUUUCAAGGACCGGAAGCACUGCAGUAAAAACGGUUUUUGAUUAGAACUAUUGCCAGCUUGAUAAAUAACCAAGCUUGAUUGUAUUGUAUGUGUAUCUUAUCGAAUUUUGUUUAACAGAAAUCUUUAUUGUACGUCUUUUUGUAUGUUUUUGUACAUUGAAAUCAAUGACAGGGUUAUUAAAAAAAAA